rnacentral:rRNA from 1 species
CAAUAGCGUAUAUUAAAGUUGUUGCGGUAAAAAAGCUCGUAGUUGGAUUUCUACCGAAGAUAGCCGGUCGGGUCUUCGACCUUGUAUCUGGUUUUGUCUUUGGUAUCCUCAUAGGGAACGUUUCUGCGCUUUAUUGCGUGGUGCGGUAUCUAUGACUUUUACUUUGAGGAAAUUAGAGUGUUCAAGGCAGGCAAACGCCUUGAAUAUAUUAGCAUGGAAUAAUAACAUAGGAUCUUCGUCCUAUUUUGUUGGUUUCUAGGGCUAAGAUAAUGAUUAAUAGGGAUAAUUGGGGGCAUCUGUAUCAACGCGUCAGAGGUGGAAUUCUUGGAUUGCGUUGCGACAAACUACUGCGAAAGCAUUUGCCAAGGAUGUUUUCAUUGA